rnacentral:rRNA from 1 species
CCCUUAGAUGUUCUGGGCCGCACGCGCGCUACACUGACGAAGUCAGCGAGCAUCUCCUACGCCGAAAGGUGCGGGGAAUCUUGUGAAACUUUGUCGUGCUGGGGAUUGAUUUUUGAAAUUCUUGAUCAUAAACGAGGAAUUCCUAGUAAGCACAAGUCAGCAGCUUGCGUUGAUUACGUCCCUGCCCUUUGUACACACCGCCCGUCGCUACUACCGAUUGAAUGGUUUAGUGAGAUGUUUGGACCGGAACUCUCUUGCUCAGCAAUGGGCGAGAGAGAGUCUGGGAAGUCCCUCUAACUGUAUCAUUUAGAGGAAGUAAAAGUCGUAACA